rnacentral:rRNA from 1 species
ACGCUGGCGGCAGGCCUCCACAUGCAAGUCGAGCGGUAGCACGGAAGAGCUUGCUCUCUGGGUGACGAGCGGCGGACGGGUGAGUAAUGUCUGGGAAACUGCCUGAUGGAGGGGGAUAACUACUGGAAACGGUAGCUAAUACCGCAUAACCUCGCAAGAGCAAAGAGGGGGACCUUCGGGCCUCUCGCCAUCAGAUGUGCCCAGAUGGGAUUAGCUAGUAGGUGAGGUAAUGGCUCACCUAGGCGACGAUCCCUAGCUGGUCUGAGAGGAUGACCAGCCACACUGGAACUGAGACACGGUCCAGACUCCUACGGGAGGCAGCAGUGGGGAAUAUUGCACAAUGGGCGCAAGCCUGAUGCAGCCAUGCCGCGUGUGUGAAGAAGGCCUUCGGGUUGUAAAGCACUUUCAGCGGGGAGGAAGGCGGUGAGGUUAAUAACCUCAUCGAUUGACGUUACCCGCAGAAGAAGCACCGGCUAACUCCGUGCCAGCAGCCGCGGUAA